UGGGGAAUUUUGCACAAUGGGGGCAACCCUGAUGCAGCGACGCCGCGUGAUUUAGAAGGCCUUCGGGUUGUAAAAAUCUUUUGUAUAGGAAGAAAAUGACAGUACUAUACGAAUAAGGUCCGGCUAAUUACGUGCCAGCAGCCGCGGUAAUACGUAAGGACCGAGCGUUGUCCGGAAUCAUUGGGCGUAAAGGGUACGUAGGCGGUUAAAAAAGUUAGAAGUGAAAGGCUAUAGCUCAACUAUAGUAAGCUUUUAAAACUGUUUAACUUGAGAGAUGGAAGGGAAAGUGGAAUUCCUAGUGUAGCGGUGAAAUGCGCAGAUAUUAGGAGGAAUACCGGUGGCGAAGGCGACUUUCUGACCAUUAUCUGACGCUAAAAUACGAAAGCGUGGGUAGCAAGCAGG
rnacentral:rRNA from 1 species